GCCAGCAGCCAUAUCACCUUGCAACUCACAACUGGCAACCCACUGAAGCUAAGCAGGUGUGAGCCUGGUCAGUACCUGGACGGAAGACCGCCUGGGAAAAACUAAGGUUGCUGCUGGAA
rfam:Lepisosteus oculatus unplaced genomic scaffold TNK389, whole genome shotgun sequence.